CUUGAAAAGUCAAAAGUCCAUUGAGCAUCAGUUAGAAAAACAAUUUGGAGAUGAAACAAAGCGAUGGAAAGUAAUUUUAGAAUGCAUUCUUGACGUCACAAUUUUUCUAGCUUCAAGAAACUUAGCUUUUAGGGGAUCCAAUCAAAAGUUGUUCAAAAAUGGGAAUGGAAACUUCCUUGGAGCGCUCGAAUUAAUUGCUCGCCACAACAAAACAUUACAAGAUCAUAUGCAUCUUAUUGCUAAGCACCA